rnacentral:rRNA from 1 species
CAGUAGCCGCGGUAAUACGUAGGGUGCGAGCGUUAAUCGGAAUUACUGGGCGUAAAGCGUGCGCAGGCGGUUUGACAAGUCUUGUGUGAAAUCUAUGGGCUCAACCCAUAGUCUGCACGGGAAACUGUCGGGCUUGAGAAUGGGAGAGGUGAGUGGAAUUUCCGGUGUAGCGGUGAAAUGCGUAGAUAUCGGAAGGAACACCUGUGGCGAAAGCGGCUCACUGGACCAUUUCUGACGCUGAUGCACGAAAGCUAGGGGAGCAAACAGGAUUAGAUACCCCUGUAGUCCCUGUCUCUUAUAC